UUACAGAAAACACAAGAGUUGGUGAGAAAGAAGAAACAAAGAACGAAGGAGAAAUAGGCAGAAAGAUACCGGAAUGAGGCCGCGUGAAGAAGACCGGAAUGAGGCCGCGAGAAGGAGAAGAGACCGAGGAGGAGGGUGCGGCCGUGAGAGGAGGCUGUGAGAGUAGGAUGCGGCCGCGAGAUGAGGCUCCGGUUUCAACGGCGGUGGUGACAAU
rnacentral:lncRNA from 1 species